rnacentral:rRNA from 1 species
AUCCAGACUCCUACGGGAGGCAGCAGUGGGGAAUAUUGCACAGUGGGGGAAACCCUGAUGCAGCGACGCCGCGUGAGUGAAGAAGUAUUUCGGUAUGUAAAGCUCUAUCAGCAGGAACGAGACAAGACGGUACCUGACUAAGAAGCCCCGGCUAACUACGUGCCAGCAGCCGCGGUAAUACGUAGGGGGCAAGCGUUAUCCGGAAUUACUGGGUGUAAGGGGAGCGUAGACGGUGAUGCAAGUCUGGAGUGAAAGGCGGGGGCCCAACCCCCGGACUGCUCUGGAAACUGUGUAACUUGAGUGCAGGAGAGGUAAGCGGAAUUCCUAGUGUAGCGGUGAAAUGCGUAGAUAUUAGGAGGAACACCAGUGGCGAAGGCGGCUUACUGGACUGUAACUGACGUUGAGGCUCGAAAGCGUGGGGAGCAAACAGGAUUAGAUACCCGAGUAC